GGAUGAAUGUCAGGCGGUAAGACCUAGCUCUUUCGAUGCUAUCAUCGCGGGUUCGAUACCCGCGUACUCUU